rnacentral:rRNA from 1 species
UACGGAGGGUGCGAGCGUUGUCCGGAAUUAUUGGGUUUAAAGGGUACGUAGGCGGUUAAAUAAGUCGAAGUUGAAAUGCUGUAGCUCAACUAUAGCACUGGCUUUGAUACUGUUUAACUUGAGUAUAGUAGAGGUUGGCGGAAUUUAUGAUGUAGCGGUGAAAUGCAUAGAUAUCAUAAAGAACUCCGAUUGCGAAGGCAGCUGACUGGACUAUAACUGACGCUGAUGUACGAAAGCGUGGGUAGCGAACAGG